CUUUGGGACUGCAGCUAAUAUUUGCUGGGAGUUUUGAAUUCAGGUGUGACUGCAUAGGUCAUAAGAUGGAAUGGUUAAAACUUAAGGACAGUUACCUGAAGUAAAACUGCCUUAAAUAGAUAUUUUAAUUUGCGGCCAGAGUUUGGUUGCUGCUAUUAAUCUUUUAACCUUUUUUACUUCCUGGGGCUAGAGUUUCUUUAUCUAAAAGUUUACUUGCAGAAGUACUUGGGCCACUCCCACCUUGUCUUUGAGAAAGCUAGGAAUCUCAUCACCCUGAAUAGGCUUAGGCCUAGAGCCUUUUACACUGUGUGUUGAUGGAAGGCAGGGCUAGGCCCCUGACUUGCUGCUCAAAGAGCCCAGGGCUAUAGAAUAUGCAUACUGUCUAGAGUUAAGAGAGGAGCUAUUGAAAGGAGAACACACCCACUCCUACCACAUCUCUCCUUUGCUACCUUGCCCUCAAUGUUGGUGGCCCUCUUAGGAGGUUUCCACUGAGGCAAACCCACCAUGUCAUGCUUCUAUAAUGAGGGGCGGCUCAAAUUCCCGGGCUAAUUUGAGCUUGCUGGGAGACUCCGGAAGUCUUGGGGAUUUGUUGCUCAUAGAACGCUGUGAGGAUGAAAUCCUGGUUUUUUUUUUUUUUUUGGCAAACGGUCUUCUGGGAGGGCCCUUUGUGACACCUUCUAGAGACGUCUAGGAAGGUUACGUUUUAGAAUGCGAAAGUUUUCGGGUUUUGCCAUGAAUUAGCUUUCUUCCCCAUCCCUGUAGAGAUUUUAAACUGUCUCUUAAUGCAGAGACAAACACUGGGCUUGAGAAAAAUGCCUCAAUCUCAACACCUGAACUCUGAAUAGAUUAGCUGAAUUCCAAUCUCUCUGGACCAGUCCAUCCUUUAAAGUGCUUUUUUUCUUUCUAAUCCUGGGACUGAUUAACACUUAUGCCCUCGGGCAAAAGCGUCGAGCCAAAACACACCCAGCACUCUUGUCUCUUUAAAAGCUGAAAGACUCAGCCUAGUGAAACCUAGGACCCACCCACCACCUCAACUUUUUCGGGAUCCAAACCUCAAUGUUUCUUCCACUCUGCUGCUAACAGCUGUUGGUUUCCCUUUAACUCUAACCUGAGACACUGAGCUCUUUUCUUCUCAGAGCAGCUUCUGCCUCCUGAAAACAUUUGGAGCGGAAGCACCCUUUAAUACAAAUCUCUCCCAGACUUAGUCCUAUAGGGGCUCUGGAAACUGUCCAAGGAGACCCCAGUCUCUGUCCUGAGUUCGAGCAGGAGGAACAAUGGAGAAACUGCGUCACACGACAGGGGCUGGCAUCCUGCUCCCCGAUGGGCCAUCAGCAUUCUUACAGGCAGCCCACAGAAGGGACCUGCUGUCAUCAUCUCCACCCUGGAUGACACCAUGGUUUCCACCCUGGUUUUAACCUGCUCCCGAGAUCUGGGCUUCAAUCUUUGGACUCUCAACUGCCCUUCAGCCUGGAGAACAUGGGACAACUGACUGGGAAUGACUGACCGGAUACACACCCCUUAGAGGUCCUGCUGCCAUCCUCAAACCCCACACCUCAUGCCUCACCUCCUGGCAUGAACCCCAAAUCUCUACGACCCUUGCCAGCUCGAAGCAGUUAAGAGGAGAUCGGCGCCCCUUUUCCCACAUGCAUUUGGAGGUGACGGCUUGAGGGGGGAAUGAAGAGGGGACCCCCGAACUUGGAAAAUCCUGGAAGGAGAAAAUCUUCAAUUCUGUCUCAAUAAGAGACUUUGUCCCAUGUCUUUUUUCCUUAAA